rnacentral:rRNA from 1 species
UACGGAGGGUGCAAGCGUUAUCCGGAUUCACUGGGUUUAAAGGGGGCGCAGGCGGGGCUGUAAGUCAGUGGUGAAAUACCCGAGCUUAACUCGGGAACUGCCAUUGAUACUAUAGCCCUUGAAUGACGUUGAGGUUUGCGGAAUGGGUCAUGUAGCGGUGAAAUGCAUAGAUAUGACCCGGAACACCGAUUGCGAAGGCAGCAGGCUAAACGUAAAUUGACGCUGAGGCCCGGAAAGCGUGGGGAUCGAAACAAG